CUUUGAAAAUAAUUUUAAGUUGACCUGCCCAAAAAAAUAUUUAAAUGGCCGCGGUAUAUUGACCGUGCAAAGGUAGCAUAAUCAUUAGUUUUUUAAAUGAAAGCUGGAAUGAAGGGUUUGAUGAAAAAAUAAUUGUUUCUAUUUAAUUUAAAUUGAAAUUUAUUUUUAAGUGAAAAAGCUUAAAUUUUUAUAAAAGACGACAAGACCCUAUAGAGUUUUAUAAUUAUUAAAAUAAAAAAAAUAUUUAGUAUUGUAAAUUUUAUUUUUAUCAUUAUUUAGUUGGGGUGAUUAAAAAAUUUGAUAAAAUUUUUUUUUAUAAAUCAUUUAUUUAUGAAUAUAUGAUCCUUUAAUUAAGAUUAAAAGAUAAAAUUACCUUAGGGAUAACAGCGUAAUUUUUUUUAAAAGUUCUUAUUUAAAGAAAAGAUUGCGACCUCGAUGUUGGAUUAAAAGAAAUUUUUGGUGUAGAAGCUAGAAAAUUAGGUCUGUUCGACCUUUAAAAUUUUACAUGAUCUGAGUUUAAACCGGCGUGAG
rnacentral:rRNA from 1 species